UAAGACGAAGGUGGCUAGCGUUGUUCGGUAUUACUGGGCUUAAAGCGUGUGUAGGCGGAAAGGUAAGCGCCAUGUGAAAUCCCUCGGCUUAACCGAGGAAUUGCUUGGCGAACUGUCUUUCUUGAGGCAAGUAGGGGUGCAUGGAACUCUUGGUGGAGCGGUGGAAUGCGUAGAUAUCAAGAGGAACGCCGGUGGAGAAAUCGGUGCACUGGGCUUGUCCUGACGCUGAGACACGAAAGCGUGGGUAGCGAACGGGAUUAGAUACCCCGGUAGUCCACGCCGUAAACGAUGCCUACUAGGUUGUGGGGGUUCUGACACUCGCACAGCCGAAGCAAAAGUGUUAAGUAGGCCGCCUGGGGAGUACGGUCGCAAGGCUA
rnacentral:rRNA from 1 species